AUCCUGGUGAUGACAGACGACAUGGUCUGCCAACCCGUGUGGGAGUGAGGACAUGUCCUGCAAUUCUGAAGGGA
rnacentral:snoRNA from 1 species